rnacentral:lncRNA from 1 species
GCAGCCUAGAUACUAUAUGUAAUAAAAUAAAACAACACGUCUUGCUUCUAAUUAGGAGCUUCAAAGACAUUCAAAAAGAUAAAUUCACUAGGUACUCUGAAGCCUGAAAUUAUGUGGUGUACUUCGAAGACAGGAUUUUGGACAUGAGAAAUAUAAUUGACUUCUACAGGGCGGAUUACUUUUAGGAGACGGAGAGGCUAUAGAGGCAGUACGAACAAAGUUGUUCACAGUUAAGUCCAUCCACAACGCUCAAAAGGACUGUGUUUUAGGCAAGACCAAUAACAGGAUCCCUUAGGAGUACUACACCAUUACCAUGUGCCAGGAGCCCCCCAUUGUCAUGUUAUGAGCCGGUAUUCCCUCGGAAGGGAAGUCAUUCAGGAGAUUAUAAAGAUAAAGUAACAAGUCUACAAGGCAUGUUGGUCCACAGGAUCUUUCUCUGGCUUCAGGACACAUAUGGUGAUGCCCCUUACAUCUUCAGCCAAGGCGGGAACCCUCUCACACUGCAAAAAGUGUGCAAUAUUAGUGAAAAACAAAUUUCAAGGGCUUUUGAAAAAGAAUAUGUGGCCUUCUAGCAGCCCUGACCUCAAUCCCAUGAACUUUUCUAUGUGAUCCAUCCGUCAGCCAGGUCUUGUACCAAACACUACUCCAUCAAAGACACUCUGAAGCGUGUCCUCAUUCAGGAAUGGGCCUAUAGCUCUGAAUAAACUAUCUUUGCUGUUUCUGCUCAUAUGCCUCUUCGUCUCCGCCAUGUCAUCCGGUCUAUUUCGAAUAAAAGUUUUUUAGAUUAAUUUAUAUAAAAUUUGAUCAUUUCGACAAAAGUUUAUGCUAAUUAAUAAAUUUAGAUUGAAUUUAUUCCUCACCCAGUAUAGUAGUAGUAUUAAGCCCCUACGUAUACUAACAAUUUAACUAAUGAAUAGAAAUAGUGAAAUAUAUUACAUGAGCCUCUUAAAAUAAAUGCUGCAUGAAAAUCCAA